GACGAACGCUGGCGGCGUGCUUAACACAUGCAAGUCGAACGGAAAGGCCCUGCUUUUGUGGGGUGCUCGAGUGGCGAACGGGUGAGUAACACGUGAGUAACCUGCCCUUGACUUUGGGAUAACUUCAGGAAACUGGGGCUAAUACCGGAUAGGAGCUCCUGCUGCAUGGUGGGGGUUGGAAAGUUUCGGCGGUUGGGGAUGGACUCGCGGCUUAUCAGCUUGUUGGUGGGGUAGUGGCUUACCAAGGCUUUGACGGGUAGCCGGCCUGAGAGGGUGAACGGGCACAUUGGGCCUGCGAGACGGACCAGUCUCCUACGGGAGGCAGCAGGGGGGAAUCUUGCACAAUGGGGGGAAGCCAGAUGCAGCAAUGCCGCGUGCGGGAUGACCGCUUUUGGGGUGUGAACCGAUUUCGCCUGAGACGAAGAGUGAGUGACGGUAAUGGGUAAAGAAGCACCGGCUAACUACGUG
rnacentral:rRNA from 1 species